GCCAUAGCAAACUCCGAAUACCAAAGAGUGGAAUCACGGGAGACAGACAUCGGGUGCUAACGUCCGGUGUCAAGAGGGCAACAACCCAGACCGCCAGCUAAGGUCCCGAAGAUUGGCUCAGUGGGGAACGUAGUGGGAAGGCUCAGACAGUCAGGAGGUUGGCUUAGAAGCAGCCAUCCUUUAAAGAAAGCGUAAUAGCUCACUGAUCGAGUCGUCCUGCGCGGAAGAUGUAACGGGGCUUAAGCCAGUCACCGAAGCUGCGGGUAUCAGAGAACUCCUCUGAUACGGUAGGAGAGCGUUCCGUAGGCCUGUGAAGGUGCAUUGAGAAAUGUACUGGAGGUAUCGGAAGUGCGAAUGCUGACAUGAGUAACGUUAAAGGGGGUGAAGUGCCCCCUCGCCGUAAGCCCAAGGUUUCCUGCGCAACGUUCAUCGGCGCAGGGUGAGUCGGCCCCUAAGGCGAGGCAGAAAUGCGUAGCUGAUGGGAAGCAGGUGAAGAUUCCUGCACCGUCGUAAGAAUGCGAUGGGGGGACGGAUCGCGGAAGGUUGUCC
rnacentral:rRNA from 1 species